rnacentral:tRNA from 1 species
GCUGGUGUAGCUCAGCUGGUUAGAGCAAAUUCUUCGUAAGAAUUAGGUCGGCAGUUCGAAUCUGCCCACCAGCU